rnacentral:rRNA from 1 species
AGGGCACCACCAGGAGUGGAGCCUGCGGCUUAAUUUGACUCAACACGGGAAAACUCACCCGGCCCGGACACUGGAAGGAUUGACAGAUUGAGAGCUCUUUCUUGAUUCAGUGGGUGGUGGUGCAUGGCCGUUCUUAGUUGGUGGAGUGAUUUGUCUGGUUAAUUCCGAUAACGAACGAGACUCUAGCCUAUUAAAUAGAUCGUUGGCUUACAAACGCCGGCGAGACUUCUUAGAGGGACGGGCGGCGAUUCAGCCGCACGAAACAGAGCAAUAACAGGUCUGUGAUGCCCUUAGAUGUCCGGGGCCGCACGCGCGCUACACUGAAGUGAUCAGCGUGCAUUUUGAAACCUACUCUGUCAAGAGUGGGGAACCCAAUGAACCUUCUUCGUGAUUGGGAUAGGGGAUUGUAAUUAUUCCCCUUGAACGAGGAAUUCCCAGUAAGCGCGAAUCAUAAGUUUGCGCUGAUUACGUCCCUGCCCUUUGUACACGCCGCCCGUCGCUACUACCGAUUGAAUGUUU